AUGUGUUAUGUAACAUUGUGAACUAUUUAGCUUUAUUGAACUAUUUAAGAGAAAGUGCCUCAUUGCUGAAGUGCGUUUCUGUUUUAGAGUCACUGCAUAGAUUUUGCAUUCUCUGUACCUGUCUCUUUUGAAUGGUUUUGUAGCUAAAUAGGCACUUGUCAGUUAGGAUCAUCUCUUUUUGAAAGAUUUUCAUAAGAAUAUAGAUAUCACCAAAGACAUUUUGCUGUUAGUUAAUAACCAUGUUGAAAAGAGAGUUGUAACAGUUUGGAGGUUGGUAAUUUUUAGAUUGCAAUUUAAUUUUGUAUAGUUAGGCAAUAAUCUUGAUUAACUGUUGAAGUGUCACCAAAGAAAGGCUUUAAACUGAAUUUUCUUGGUGAAAUCAGUCAAAUGCAGGUUUUUCUUGCAAUAAUCAGAGCAUACUUCCUUUCAAAUAGGUUCACUGGUUUUUAGCAUCAUCCAGCAGCUCUUAGGAAAUCUUAGAGGUGAGGAAGAGACACCACAAAUAGCCUCACUCUGAAUGAAAAGUGAGAAAAACAUAUAUUUUGAAAAGAACCGAAAUUGAAAUUCUGAAUUUUAAUUGGAUGAGCUUUUCAUUCUGAAGAGGCAGUCUAAACUCAAAUUAUGCUUAUUUAGUUCCCGGGUCCUUAGUAAUAUGAGAACUUUUAUUAAAAAGACAGGUUUUGGUGGAAGUGCUGGCUGACAUGCUUACUUAGGUGGGCUAUAGUACAACCGUUGGGCACAUCUAAGUAAGUGCUUUUUCUGUAUUCAAAAGCAAAAUUUCCAUAAGGCCUGGUUUGGGUUUUGUUUUUCUGUCUUGCCUCCCAGCAGUUACCUUUUAUCAUAGUUAGAGUUGAACACACAGCCAGAUUUGGCAAAAUGAGUCACAGAACAAGAGCAUGUCCGUCGGGAGAGCUGUCCCAUUACACCCUUUCUCCUUGGAAGUGGGUUCAUGUGAAAGUCUCCCCGCAGGGAAAACUCACGCUGUGAAGUCUUUCUGCUGGGUCCUCAGGUGAGCACCAUGGACAGGAUCAAAGGGAUGCACACGCUGGUACAUCCUCUGGCUUAGGAACAGCAAGCAGAGCUGUAGACCACUAAGAUGUUGGGAGAUUGCAGGAAUUACAGAAAUGAAUGAGUUUUCCAUGACUUUAAUUUUCUGGAUUAGAAACACUUAAACUUGAAAUGCUGUCGUCAUUAUUUUCAGCUAUGUAUGCCUAUAGGAACACGUCUGCUAGACUUGUUUUGUGAACAACUGAAGAGUAUUAAAUACAGUAGGGACUCAAAGCCCUUUCAAAGCACAACAUAACCAAUUGCUUUUUCAUUUACUUGAUAUUUCUAGUUCAGUAGUAUUUUGGUAGAAAAUACUGUCAAGUUGAAAGUUGAUUAAAAUGUACUUAAGUGUCCAGUACAGGGUUUUCACCGUUUGUUGUCCUUGAAGCAGUUGUGUUUCUCCAGUCAUUUGUGUGAUUCACUUCCUAGUGUGAUCUAGUUUUCACAAACAGUGUGUUCACUUGCUGUCCUUAACUUUUCAAAUAGAAUUAAAAUGCUUGAGUACUUGCCUUUCAGAAAGUUCUAAAAUUAAACCUAAAAGGAAUUCUUUUCAGUGCUCGUUCAAUGUGUCUGUAUACUCAUUACGCCCCUCUGCCUGGGAUUGAAAACUGAGACUAAGUUUUUAGAAAGGCCUUUUCAUUAUCUUUACAUCUAGAAUCGUGUGACAUAGAUAUAUGUGGAAUACUUGGUCUAGUUUUCUUCCAUCUUGUAAAGCGUCAUGAAAUAAAUGAAUCUGGGACAAAUGAAGAAAGAUUUCAGGUGAGACGGUAACCAGAUUAACUUAUUUAUCCACACACUUCCCUUCAGUCCACUGGAGCAGGAGUUCUACACGUUAAACAUGUAAUGGGAUCAGCCUGACGUUGCUCGGGGGCCGGUUUUCUUUUGCUGUAUUUUUUAGAACGGGGGUGGGGGCCUAAGUGUCCUUAUGAAGCUGUGGUCCACACAGGAGCUAGUGAGGGGAGUACCGGAGUUCUGCUGCUUUCCGCAUUGGGCGCGGUCAUCCGUUUUUGAUAGAGUAGCCCUCACGAUAAAUAAAACCAUCAUAGAAUAUAUUGUAAAGUUACGUCGCUAAUUUUCCUUUGAAAUAUAAAAUAUUUUAAGCUUUUUGUCAAAAGUGGUAACAUCUUAAUACAAAUAAAAACCUUUUUGUGGUUGUAAGAUUUAGCUUAUAAAUCAUUCAAAUUGAAGUGAAAGAAUUACCAGGUCAUUCAUUGUUAAUGACUUAGUCUAUUAAGAACAUAUGUAUUUUUGUAAAGGAAAAGCACUUGUAGAUAUUUAAUCAGUACAAGAUAUAUGUCUGUUUUGCAGAAAUAAAAUGCUGCUUAGAGAUUCUCUUUAAAUAUUUUUUAUUUUUGUGCUCAAAUGUAUUUUCUGUUGAUCUAUGGAAUGUUCUGUACAAAGCUGUAUGAUUGUAUUGUUGAGCUAGGUAAUUUUUUUUUAAUUGGACUUAGCCAAGUAUAUUUGACCAUGUUAAAGAUAGUAUCUUUGUUAUUAAAACUUUGCAUAAUU